AUGACUCUCGGCAAUGGAUAUCUUGGCUCUUGCAUCGAUGAAGAGCGCAGCGAAAUGCGAUACGUGGUGCGAAUUGCAGAAUCCCGUGAACCAUCGAGUUUUUGAACGCAAGUUGCGCCUGAGGCCAUCUGGUUGAGGGCACGUCCGCCUGGGCGUCAUGC
rnacentral:rRNA from 1 species